rnacentral:rRNA from 1 species
AUGGCUCUAGAGUUGCUGCGCUCUUUCCUCCUCUGCCUCGCCGUGCUCGCCGGCAGAGCCGCCUCCGCUUCUCUGCACUCGCAGUGCCUGGACAACCCGCCGGACCUGACCGCCGCCGGAGCCGAGGCGGGAAAGGUCGUCGAUGACCUGGCCGGCUUCAGGGCGUACGUCACCGGCCCCGUCCACUCCGACCGGGCCAUCGUCCUGGCCUCCGACAUCUUCGGAUUCGAAGCGCCGUUGCUGAGGCAGGCAGCCGACAAAGUUGCUGAAGCUGGAUACUAUGUUGUGGUGCCUGAUUUCUUCAAUGGGAAACCUUACAUGGGUGACCCAAGUGUAAACAUCACACAGUGGAUAGAUGACCACUCUCCGGUAAAAGCCGCUCGAGAUGCUAAACCAAUUUUUGCGACCUUGAAAAAAGAGCAAAAAUCAAUUAUUGGAGUUGGGGGAUACUGUUGGGGUGGAAAGUUUGCAGUGGAGAUAGCGAAAAUGGAGGAGGUGAAGGCAAUCGUCGUCUCCCAUCCUUCAUCCAUCAUUGUUGACGAUAUGAGAGAGGUCAAGUGCCCCAUUGAGAUCCUUGGAGCUCAAAAUGACACAACUACACCACAGAAGUUCAUAUAUCAGUUUUUGCAGGCCCUUCGUAAAAGAAGUGAUAAGGUACCUUACUUCGGCAAGAUCUUUCCAGGAGUUGCACAUGGUUUUGCUUGUAGAUACAAUAGCACCGACCCAUUUGCAGUUAGAACAGCUGAACAAGCUCUUGCCUUAAUGCUCGACUGGUUCAAGAAAUACCUGGAAUGA